GUUCCAGAGCAAGCUUAGGUGGUAACACUCCUGUAGAGAGAGCAUGAAGGCAGUGAGUGGGAAGACAGUGUGAUCCUGUGCUUCUCUAGGCCAGCUGGUGCAAAGCAGAGGCCUCCUAAAAGACACAAAGUGGCUUGUCAGCUUUUCUACCUGUUCUAACAAGUUAGAAGUACAUCCCAAAAGGUAUACUGCAAUAUUGAAGUUCAUUUAUAUACACUAUAAAGUUUCCCCUGUGUGUCCUGCAGACUGGGAAGUGUCCAUGGGUUGAUCCCUUUGUGAAUUACAUGGAGCUGACAGGGCUGAAACCCACAAUGACCCAGAUGAGGAUUGAAGCUUGUGCUGAAAGAGUGGCUGCCGCCCCAAACAUGGCUUUUUGGAUUUUGGAAUUGAGGUUGGGGAAUAUGGAAUGUAUCAUCAUCAAUUCCUUCCACUCUAAGUUGGCAAGAAGUUGACAAACCUGCUCCUGCAUUUCCUACACUGGCCAGGAAGGAGUCUG
ensembl:lncRNA